rnacentral:rRNA from 1 species
UACGGAGGGGACUAGCGUUGUUCGGAAUUACUGGGCGUAAAGCGCACGUAGGCGGCUUUGCAAGUUAGAGGUGAAAGCCCGGGGCUCAACUCCGGAAUUGCCUUUAAAACUGCAUCGCUAGAGUUAUGGAGAGGUAAGUGGAAUUCCGAGUGUAGAGGUGAAAUUCGUAGAUAUUCGGAAGAACACCAGUGGCGAAGGCGACUUACUGGACACAUACUGACGCUGAGACGCGAAAGCGUGGGGAGCGAACCGG